UGUGACAUUCAAAAGAGGAUCAAACUUGUGGGACAUGGCACAAGGAAAUAAUUAUGGGCAAAGCAGCAAUGGGGUGGCUGAUGAAUCCCCAAACAUGUUGGUGUACAGAAAGAUGGAAGACGUCAUAGCCCGCAUGCAAGAUGAGAAAAAUGGGAUUCCUAUUCGUACAGUCAAAAGUUUUCUUUCCAAGAUUCCCAGUGUCUUUUCUGGUUCAGACAUUGUUCAAUGGUUAACGAAGAAUUUAUCCAUAGAAGACCCAGUGGAAGCUCUACAUUUGGGAACACUGAUGGCAGCACAUGGUUAUUUCUUUCCAAUCUCAGACCAUGUUCUAACACUAAAAGAUGAUGGCACCUUUUAUCGAUUCCAGACACCCUAUUUUUGGCCAUCAAAUUGUUGGGAGCCGGAAAACACAGACUAUGCUGUUUACCUCUGCAAGCGGACAAUGCAAAACAAAGCAAGGCUGGAGCUAGCAGACUAUGAAGCUGAGAGUUUGGCCAGGCUACAGCGAGCAUUUGCUCGGAAAUGGGAGUUUAUUUUUAUGCAAGCUGAAGCACAAGCAAAAGUUGACAAGAAGAGAGACAAGAUAGAGAGGAAGAUCCUUGACAGCCAGGAGCGAGCAUUCUGGGAUGUGCACCGUCCGGUGCCUGGAUGUGUAAACACUACUGAAGUGGAUAUAAAAAAAUCUUCAAGAAUGAGAAAUCCACAUAAAACAAGAAAGUCUGUCUAUGGCUUACAAAACGACAUUCGAAGUCACAGCCCUACCCACACACCAGUACCAGAGACUAAGCCACCCACAGAAGAUGAACUACACCAAGAGAUUAAGCAUUGGCAAAUGCAAUUAGACAGACAUAGAUUAAAAAUGUCAAAAGUUGCAGAGAGUCUAUUAGCUUAUACAGAGCAGUAUUUGGAAUAUGAUCCUUUUCUUGUGCCCCCUGAUCCCUCAAACCCUUGGAUAUCAGAUGACACCACUUUCUGGGAACUGGAGGCAAGCAAAGAGCCAGGACAACAGAGGGUGAAACGGUGGGGGUUCGGCAUGGAUGAAGCUUUGAAAGACCCUGUGGGAAGAGAGCAGUUUCUCAAAUUCCUGGAGUCAGAAUUCAGUUCAGAAAACUUAAGGUUCUGGUUAGCAGUAGAAGACCUGAAGAAGAGGCCUAUCCGUGAAGUUCCUACUCGUGUCCAAGAAAUCUGGCAAGAAUUUCUUGCUCCAGGUGCACCCAGCGCUAUCAAUCUAGAUUCAAAAAGUUACGACAAAACCACGCAGAAUGUAAAGGACCCUGGAAGAUACACAUUUGAAGAUGCUCAGGAGCACAUUUACAAACUGAUGAAAAGUGAUUCUUAUCCUCGUUUUAUACGAUCCAGUGCCUACCAGGAGCUGCUACAGGCCAAGAAAAAGGUAUUGGUCCAUCUUGCCUUUGUCUUGCCACUGUGCAAAGCAGUGGUUAUGUUUGCAACAAUACUCAGUCUUCUCUCCCCUGUGCCAGUGCAACUGGAUAUCUGGUAGGUGACCAGCUUGGCGUGUUUGGAGGGUCACAUACACACAGGAGUUUGAUAUACAUAUAUGUGUAUAUAUCCUGCAUGUGGGCAUGUUUCAAUAAGUUAAUCUAGCAAAACUUAUUUUUAUUUUUACAUCCCAUAUUGUACUGUUUUCUCUGUUAUGAAGCACCUUAAGUUGCAAAGUGCUUUACAAAUACAUUAAAAAAAUAAAAUAAAAUCCCGGAAGAAUAGUCUUUCAUGUUUGCAAGUUUGCUUAUGUAAUAAUUGUUGUUCUCUUUAUUCCACCUAUAAACAGAAUGCGUUUAGAAACAAUCUUAUUCAUAUAAAUAACUUCUAAUUUCAACUAUAAAUACAGGGGCUUCCUAAUUCUCUUUCUUUCCCUAUUAUUACAUGAAUAGUUUUGAGUAGGGUAGGAAUCUGACUUAAAAGACUGAUCAUGUCACACUUCAGCAAACAGAAGCUCAUGUCUUGGUAUGUAAUAUUUGAUUAAAAAAGUCCAGAUUGUGGAAUGAGUUUUGAAUAGACACAGCCCAGAGUAUGUGGAACAACUUGUGCAAUGCAGUCAUGAUAAAAACUUUUAUAGUGGGCUCUAAAUAGUAAUCUGCUAGAACCAGCUGGGAGCCCUGUGCCUUGCAAAAUCAGGGCCCUGAUCAUUACUGGAACAAGGUAGUUACUAACACCAUAGCAUUCUACUGUUUAUAAUGACAACCUAAAAUUAUAUGAAAGUACUGUGUGAUUUUGUUUUUUGUUCAAACAUUGAUUUCUGAAGAUCCAAUAUAGAGAGAGAUGUUGAAAAUACCAGAAAGCUACAACUGUCCGUGUGAAGUCCUUAAGUUUGUGAAUGUCAGUUCAUUAACACAAGAUGUGCACUUCAUUAUUUCUUUUUAUUUUCAGUUUUUCUUUAAAUCAAACCAGUUCAAUCCCCGUGAAAUUUUUUUUUGUUGAAUACUCUAUCUGCUUUGCCCAUCCCCUGUUUUUCAGAUUCCCAUAGCUUCAUACCUGUGUUUGCUUCCUGAUUUAUACAAACCUUGUUUUGCAGUCCAUUGUUUCAUCAAUCUUUCUUUUCUACUCCAUUUUUUCUUGCUUUUCUUUUUCUCGUCCUUUUUAUUUUGUUUUCUUUUAUUAUUAUUAUUAUUUUAAAUUUAAGUUGGAAAACACUCUGGAUCGUCGAACAUCUUUUGAGAAAUUCACACGCAAUGUGGGGAAAUCGCUCACAUCAAAGAGGUUAACCAGUCUAGUGCAGUCCUACUAAAAGGAUCACCUUGUAGCAUGGAAGCAGACUCAAAUCAUUAUACAUACUUUGUAGCUCACUGAUUGCCUGACUCAGAGGACAGUAGAACAAGAUGUUGCAUGAGCAAGGACCUGACUUGUUUUCUUUUGUGUAUACUAAGGCAUUACAGACUCCGAGGGACUCUCUAGCCUUUCGAUGCCACCAUUUCGAAAACUGUCUGCUCACUUCCUCCUUCAUAUCAAGCUGGAUCUGUGUCUUUUUAUUUUCUGCAAGCUGAAGUACAGUGAAAAAAAAGCUUCUGCUAGGCACAGUUUAUUAAAAAAAAAAAAAGUCAAUCAAAACCUGGAAGAAAUGUAAAAAAUGCAUAUAUUAAUAAAUAUACAUAUGGCAUCACAUUUAUUGCACAAUAAAUUAGCACAGAAGGUUUCAUUUCACUGAUGUAUUCACAUUGAGAAAGAAAGCCUGUGUCUUUGUCUGUUGUCUGUAUAUUCUCUGUUAAUGUUUCUUGCAUUUAUUUUUAUACCAUAUUUAAAAAAGAACACCUUUUACUCCAGAUGUAUUAAAGCUGAUCCUUUCUCUGUAAAUUUGUGUAUGUUUAUAUUGUUGUUUUAUCUUUCAUUAAAAGAUGCAGAAUCUCUUUC